CCUACGGGAGGCAGCAGUAGGGAAUCUUGCGCAAUGGGCGAAAGCCUGACGCAGCAACGCCGCGUGAUCGAGACGCCCUUCGGGGUGUAAAGAUCUGUCAGUGGGGACGAAACUUGACGGUACCCACAGAGGACGCACCGGCUAACUCCGUGCCAGCAGCCGCGGUAAUACGGGGGGUGCAAGCGGUGUCCGGAAUCAUUGGGCGUAAAGAGUUCGUAGGCGGCACGUAAAGUCUGGUGGUAAAGGCAGAGGCUCAACUUCUGUACGGCACUGGAUACUUGCGAGCUAGAAUGCAGUAGAGGUAAGUGGAAUUCCUGGUGUAGCGGUGAAAUGCGUAGAUAUCAGGAGGAACAUCGGUGGCGUAAGCGCUUUACUGGGCCGUAAUUGACGCUGAGGAACGAAAGCCAGGGUAGCAAAUGGGAUUAGAUACCCGUGUAGUC
rnacentral:rRNA from 1 species